rnacentral:tRNA from 15 species
GCGGUUAUAGCUCAGCCUGGCCAGAGCAUCACGUUGCCAACGUGAACGUCGCGGGUUCAAAUCCCGCUAGCCGCUC